GCUAGAGGUGGUGGCUCAUUCCUGUAAUCCCUCUCCCUGGGAGGCCGAAGAUGACAGAUCUCUUGAGUUUAGAAGCUCUAAGCUGUAGUAGGUGAUGUUGAUCAGGUGUCCAUACUGAGUUCAUCAUUAAAAAGGUGAGUCUAGAGGGGAGAAUACAAGCCCCCCGGAUUGUCUAAGGAAGCAUAAAUUGGUCCAGGUGGGAAAACAGAGCAGAUCAAAGCUUCCAUGUUGAUUAGAAUGAGAUCAGAUUGUGAAUAGCUGCUGGAUUUCUAGUCUCAGUGAGAUAAAGAAGUUCAUCCUUUU
rnacentral:SRP_RNA from 1 species